UACGUAGGGCGCGAGCGUUGUCCGGAAUUAUUGGGCGUAAAGAGCUCGUAGGCGGCCUGUUGCGUCCGCUGUGAAAUCCCGGGGCUCAACCCCGGGCUUGCAGUGGAUACGGGCUGGCUAGAGGCAGGCAGGGGAGAACGGAAUUCCCGGUGUAGCGGUGGAAUGCGCAGAUAUCAGGAGGAACACCGAUGGCGAAGGCAGGUCUCUGGGCCAUUACUGACACUGAGAAGCGAAAGCAUGGGGAGCGAACAGG
rnacentral:rRNA from 1 species